rnacentral:snRNA from 1 species
UUUACGUCGAACAGGGCUUAGAUCAAGUGUAGUAUCUGUUCUUUUCAGUUUAAUCUCUGAAAGUACUCUACGGAGUACAAUCGUGAUUAUUCUUAUUUUUGUAUCCCGGGGGACGGUCCUCUGAGCUUGCUCACGGCCGACCUCCACUGUGUCCUCGGUAUCACACUGCCUCCGAGUGACGCGAAUCUCA